ACGCUCGACACCUACGGGAGGUAGCAGUGGGGAAUAUUGCACAAUGGGGGAAACCCUGAUGCAGCGACGCCGCGUGAGUGAAGAAGUAUUUCGGUAUGUAAAGCUCUAUCAGCAGGGAAGAAGAUGACGGUACCUGAGUAAGAAGCCCCGGCUAACUACGUGCCAACAGCCGCGGUAAUCUGAGCGGGCUGGCAAGGC
rnacentral:rRNA from 1 species